AUACGGAGGGUCCAAGCGUUAUCCGGAACCAUUGGGUUUAAAGGGUCCGCAGGCGGUCAAUUAAGUCAGAGGUGAAAGCCCAUCGCUCAACGAUGGAACUGCCUUUGAUACUGGUUGACUUGAGUUAUACGGAAGUAGAUAGAAUAAGUAGUGUAGCGGUGAAAUGCAUAGAUAUUACUUCGAAUACCGAUUGCGAAGGCAGUCUACUACGUAUAUACUGACGCUGAGGGACGAAAGCGUGGGGAGCGGACAGGAUUAGAAACCCUAGUAGUCC
rnacentral:rRNA from 1 species